CGGUGUUUAACUGGCGUGAUGUGGGACGUCCUACCGGUGGGCUUAGCCUCGCGAGGGGCGGCCCAACUAAUAUCCCGUCGCGGUGCUCUUUACUGAGUGUCGAGUCGGGCCGGUACGUUUACUUUGAACAAAUUAGAGUGCUUAAAGCAGGCUAUCCUCGCCUGAAUACUGCGUGCAUGGAAUAAUGGAAUAGGACCUCGGUUCUAUUUUGUUGGUUUUCGGAACCCCGAGGUAAUGAUUAAUAGGGACAGAUGGGGGCAUUCGUAUUGCGACGUUGGAGGUGAAAUUCUUGGAUCGUCGCAAGACGGACAGAAGCGAAAGCAUUUGCCAAAAAUGUUUUCAUUAAUCAAGAACGAAAGUUAGAGGUUCGAAGGCGAUCAGAUACCGCCCUAGUUCUAACCAUAAACGAUGCCAGCUAGCGAUCCGCCGAAGUUCCUCCGAUGACUCGGCGGGCAGCUUCCGGGAAACCAAAGCUUUUGGGUUCCGGGGGAAGUAUGGUUGCAAAGCUGAAACUUAAAGGAAUUGACGGAAGGGCACCACCAGGAGUGGAGCCUGCGGCUUAAUUUGACUCAACACGGGAAACCUCACCAGGCCCAGACACCGGAAGGAUUGACAGAUUGAUAGCUCUUUCUUGAUUCGGUGGGUGGUGGUGCAUGGCCGUUCUUAGUUGGUGGAGCGAUUUGUCUGGUUAAUUCCGAUAACGAACGAGACUCUAGCCUGCUAAAUAGGCGUACCUUAUGGUAUCGCGAAGGCCCCCGGCUUCGGCCGGUGGGUUUUUACUACCAACGUACAAACAAAUCUUCUUAGAGGGACAGGCGG
rnacentral:rRNA from 1 species